AUACGUAGGGUGCGAGCGUUGUCCGGAAUUACUGGGCGUAAAGAGCUCGUAGGUGGUUUGUCGCGUCGUCUGUGAAAUUCCGGGGCUUAACUCCGGGCGUGCAGGCGAUACGGGCAUAACUUGAGUACUGUAGGGGAGACUGGAAUUCCUGGUGUAGCGGUGAAAUGCGCAGAUAUCAGGAGGAACACCGGUGGCGAAGGCGGGUCUUUGGGCAGUAACUGACGCUGAGGAGCGAAAGCAUGGGUAGCGAACAGGAUUAGAUACCGUGGUAGUCCAUGCCGUAAACGGUGGGCGCUAGGUGUAGGGGUCUUCCACGACUUCUGUGCCGUAGCUAACGCAUUAAGCGCCCCGCCUGGGGAGUACGGCCGCAAGGCUAAAACUCAAAGGAAUUGACGGAG
rnacentral:rRNA from 1 species